GUGGGCUUAGCUCUUCACGGGGCGGUCCAACUAAUAUCCCAUCGCGGUGCUCUUCAUUGAGUGUCGAGGUGGGCCGGUACGUUUACUUUGAACAAAUUAGAGUGCUUAAAGCAGGCUAUCUUCGCCUGAAUACUGUGUGCAUGGAAUAAUGGAAUAGGACCUCGGUUCUAUUUUGUUGGUUUUCGGAACCCCGAGGUAAUGAUUAAUAGGGACAGAUGGGGGCAUUCGUAUUGCGACGUUAGAGGUGAAAUUCUUGGAUCGUCGCAAGACGGACAGAAGCGAAAGCAUUUGCCAAAAAUGUUUUCAUUAAUCAAGAACGAAAGUUAGAGGUUCGAAGGCGAUCAGAUACCGCCCUAGUUCUAACCAUAAACGAUGCCAGCUAGCGAUCCGCCGAAGUUCCUCCGAUGACUCGGCGGGCAGCUUCCGGGAAACCAAAGCUUUUGGGUUCCGGGGGAAGUAUGGUUGCAAAGCUGAAACUUAAAGGAAUUGACGGAAGGGCACCACCAGGAGUGGAGCCUGCGGCUUAAUUUGACUCAACACGGGAAACCUCACCAGGCCCGGACACCGGAAGGAUUGACAGAUUGAUAGCUCUUUCUUGAUUCGGUGGGUGGUGGUGCAUGGCCNGUNCUUAGUUGGU
rnacentral:rRNA from 1 species